ACCGACUUCCCUCUCAAGAAACCCUAGCCAAGGGUUCCGCCUCCCUCCUCACUACUGCUUCUGUAACCACCGCCACCGAGAGAAGGCCAUCCACCUUCAUUUCUACCGCACAGACGACUGCAGGAGUCGAGUUCGUUUUGCAGAGGGCGUCUAAGGCCGCUUUUGCUGAAACUGGCUCGAUUCCACUUCUGUCGUUUGACGUUUUCGGCCACGGCCUCCUUUGCGCUUGUGUUGUCUUCGCUGUGAGGAAGACAAGCUCCCCACAACCAGCAGUAGAUAAACUGCAUGAUGGUCUAGUGGUCUCAGAGGACGGACAGGAAGAAGUUUGCAAGGCAUCAAACGCCGUCUUCCUCCUCUACCCAUGUUGCCUUCCUUUUACUAGAAUGAGGAAAAAGCUCCGCAUCUGGCACGAAGAGGUGAUUGGAACUCCGGCCCGAAGGGCAACUGAUUUCUGAUCGUUAUAGAAAACAGGAAGCAGAGGAUUCCGUGGUUUUAAAACAAAGAUGAGAUCUCUUUAAAAUAGGCAAAACAGAGAGAGAGCACAGGCACCAAAGAGGAAGGAGACACAUUUGAACACAGUGGAGUUUUCGUCUGUAACAGAGGAUUCACAAACAGAAAUCCAGAUUAAGUUACAGCGGAAGUUGCGAGUCGUCGCCUGCGCAGUAAGUUCACCAGCUGCUGAUUCACAAACAGAAAUCCAGAUUAAGGUUCUAUGUUUCAUUCCAUCCUUCUCCUUUAUUUAUUUUGGGUCUUUGAAUGUCGAGCAGAGCAGGCUCUGCCUCCUGUGCUACCGUUUGUCAGAGACGCAGGUCAAAACAAAAUUUACUCUAGCAGUGGAGUUCUUUAUGGACAGAUCGUCUACGUGGGUCCAAAAAAAAAAAUUUACAGAGCCGUUGGGCUCAAUCCUGGUCUCAGUCUCUCGCAGACACAGAGAAUAAAAGCAUAAUAUAUAGAAUAGAGGAUUUCAUACCCAAUCAAUACUAUCAUGUUUCAUGCUUGAACUCAGUGUAGUCUAGUAUGCUUUAUUUUUAGUAAAUAGAUCACAGCAUGAUACAUGCAUGAUGCACAGACGAGACACAUGCUUCACAGUAGUAUAAUCUGCACAGGCACAGGCACCACAGUAGUCAAAAUCACUUACUAGUGUUCGAUAGAGAUGGCUCUGAUACCACUAUUGGAUCAAUUGAAGUUACAGCGGAAGUUGCGAGUCGUCGCCUGCGCAGUAAGUUCACCAGCUGUUGAUUCACAAACAGAAAUCCAGAUUAAGGUUCUAUGUUUCAUUCCAUCCUUCUCCUUUAUUUAUUUUGGGUCUUUGAAUGUCGAGCAGAGCAGGCUCUGCCUCCUGUGCUACCGUUUGUCAGAGACGCAGGUCAAAACAAAAUUUACUCUAGCAGUGGAGUUCUUUAUGGACAGAUCGUCUACGUGGGUCCAAAAAAAAAAAUUUACAGAGCCGUUGGGCUCAAUCCUGGUCUCAGUCUCUCGCAGACACAGAGAAUAAAAGCAUAAUAUAUAGAAUAGAGGAUUUCAUACCCAAUCAAUACUAUCAUGUUUCAUGCUUGAACUCAGUGUAGUCUAGUAUGCUUUAUUUUUAGUAAAUAGAUCACAGCAUGAUACAUGCAUGAUGCACAGACGAGACACAUGCUUCACAGUAGUAUAAUCUGCACAGGCACAGGCACCACAGUAGUCAAAAUCACUUACUAGUGUUCGAUAGAGAUGGCUCUGAUACCACUGUUGGAUCAAUUGAAGUUACAGCGGAAGUUGCGAGUCGUCGCCUGCGCAGUAAGUUCACCAGCUGCUGAUUCACAAACAGAAAUCCAGAUUAAGGUUCUAUGUUUCAUUCCAUCCUUCUCCUUUAUUUAUUUUGGGUCUUUGAAUGUCGAGCAGAGCAGGCUCUGCCUCCUGUGCUACCGUUUGUCAGAGACGCAGGUCAAAACAAAAUUUACUCUAGCAGUGGAGUUCUUUAUGGACAGAUCGUCUACGUGGGUCCAAAAAAAAAAAUUUACAGAGCCGUUGGGCUCAAUCCUGGUCUCAGUCUCUCGCAGACACAGAGAAUAAAAGCAUAAUAUAUAGAAUAGAGGAUUUCAUACCCAAUCAAUACUAUCAUGUUUCAUGCUUGAACUCAGUGUAGUCUAGUAUGCUUUAUUUUUAGUAAAUAGAUCACAGCAUGAUACAUGCAUGAUGCACAGACGAGACACAUGCUUCACAGUAGUAUAAUCUGCACAGGCACAGGCACCACAGUAGUCAAAAUCACUUACUAGUGUUCGAUAGAGAUGGCUCUGAUACCACUAUUGGAUCAAUUGAAGUUACAGCGGAAGUUGCGAGUCGUCGCCUGCGCAGUAAGUUCACCAGCUGUUGAUUCACAAACAGAAAUCCAGAUUAAGGUUCUAUGUUUCAUUCCAUCCUUCUCCUUUAUUUAUUUUGGGUCUUUGAAUGUCGAGCAGAGCAGGCUCUGCCUCCUGUGCUACCGUUUGUCAGAGACGCAGGUCAAAACAAAAUUUACUCUAGCAGUGGAGUUCUUUAUGGACAGAUCGUCUACGUGGGUCCAAAAAAAAAAAUUUACAGAGCCGUUGGGCUCAAUCCUGGUCUCAGUCUCUCGCAGACACAGAUAAUAAAAGCAUAAUAUAUAGAAUAGAGGAUUUCAUACCCAAUCAAUACUAUCAUGUUUCAUGCUUGAACUCAGUGUAGUCUAGUAUGCUUUAUUUUUAGUAAAUAGAUCACAGCAUGAUACAUGCAUGAUGCACAGACGAGACACAUGCUUCACAGUAGUAUAAUCUGCAUAGGCACAGGCACCACAGUAGUCAAAAUCACUUACUAGUGUUCGAUAGAGAUGGCUCUGAUACCACUGUUGGACCAAUUGAAGUUACAGCGGAAGUUGCGAGUCAUCGCCUGCGCAGUAAGUUCACCAGCUGCUCCAGUGUUCAAGUGAAGAAGUAGCGACUAUCCCUGUAGAAAACAACUGAGCAAGAGGAAGAGGAAAAAAGCAAGAAGAGCAAGUCAGAUUUAGGGGUUUCCUUCUAAGGGGCUCCUCACGAAUCCUCUUCUCAAGAGAGAGUUUUUAAAGCAUUAAGCAUUGCUGGGUAUAAGUAGCCAGCCCCUUAGGUUUUCCCCAAAUCCCGGCAGCGGUUAGCGUGAGAGAUUUUUUAGGAAAAGGUUGAGAUAAAUAUGAACUUUAUCUUGUUGCAAAAUUUUUGAGCUAAUCUCGCAGUUACGAGAUAUCCGGAUAGGGCUCAAUGGCCACUAUCCAACACAUACCCCUCCAUAGGACAAAGUGAUUCUUCCAAAACAAGAAGCUUGUUGGGUGCCCGAAUCAUGGUUCGUGCCAUAGUUCUCAUUUCUAAAGUUUGCACACUGUUCCAAGGAGAUCAAGUCUCAGGUCACCGUUGUCUUGUGCAUGAAAGUGAAUUAUAUUUUCUCGAUCGGAUGAUAUAACACCACUAAAGUUGUGGUUUUUUUUACUCGACUCGAAUUGAAGCAGCCAAGGGACGGAACCCCAGUAGAACACUAUCGAAGGAUUUUUUACUUGAUUCAACCACAUGAAGCUUUGGCUCGCAUGAGUACUGAUGUUCCUUGAACUCUAGGAGGGGGCAUGUUGGGUGUUUGGUUAACUCGAAGACCAUCGUGUUCUUAGAGCACAUGUACCUUUGACAUGUGCAUUAAGUUCAUGUUCUUAAUUCGGAAAUUAAUAUGGAGUGUUUAUGUCCAGAAUUUGAUUGUUAUAUUUAAAAGCAAUAUCUGUAUGUACAUCAUGUUAUUUAAAACAAAAACAACGUACUUUUUUAUCACAUGAACAUGCGUUCCAUGAACAAUGUGUUUUUCUUAUCAAUUGUGGUCGAAGUCACAUGGCACUUCAAUAAAGUCUAAAAGUAGGUUCUUGAUACACUUGAGUACUUUUUACGAGGAUGUUCAUCCAAUUUGCUUAAUUUUUUUAGCUAAUUUUUCAUUCUGUUUUUUA